rnacentral:rRNA from 1 species
CCUACGGGAGACAGCAGUGAGGAAUAUUGGUCAAUGGGCGGAAGCCUGAACCAGCCAAGUAGCGUGCAGGAUGACGGCCCUCCGGGUUGUAAACAGCUUUUAUACGGGAAUAACGCGCCUUACGUGUAGGGCUUUGCAUGUACCGUAUGAAUAAGAACCGGCUAAUCCCGUGCCAGCCGCCGCGGUAAUACGGAAGGGCCGGGUGUUAUCCGGAUUUAGUGGGGUUAAAGUGAGCGUAGGGCGCAUGUCAAGCGUGCUGUGAAAUGUCCGGGCGCAACCCGGGCCUUGCAGCGCGAACUGGCGUGCUUGAGUCCGCGGAAAGCAGGCGGAAUUCGUCGUG